AAAGUAGUUGGAAAGAGCUUGUUACGGGCUCAGAAUUGUUUGCAUCUGACCUGGUAAAUUGCUUUACAUUAAUAAUAGUCUGUUUCCUUUCUGGAACAGAACGGUCUCCUGUGUUUGUGCUGAUGACCAGGUCUCUGACUUCAUUUGAUAGGGUAACAUGUUCCUGCUCUCUCUGUAAGAGCGUUCUGAGAUCCCUGUAUUUGGCCUCUUGCAGUUGAGCUCUUCCCUGCCUUCCAUUGUCCAGGUUCCUGGUCAUUCCCAGCUCACCAGCAGUCUAGUUGCUUUCAUUCUUUCUUAGAAGCAAGGCCUGAUCUCUGCCUUGCUGCAACUACUUACUUUUGCAGUCCUAAAAACGUCUGAGGAGUUUAUUUUAUAGAUAUGCAGUGUGCUCUGUGCAGCCUUUUUAAGGAAGGCUGCCAUCCCAACUUAUUUAAUGAGUAAGUCUUGCAAAGUGGUUCUCUUCCUUGAAAAAGUUACACAUGUGACGUGGCCUUUCUCAGCAAUUCCUAAUAGCGGUAGGCGCUUUAUGAAGGGCCUGCUGACAGCACACAGAGAUCUGGCUGGUGGCAGGGUGUUUCCUCCCUGAAAGCUAAACUUUGUUACAAGAAAACUAAAAUGCCCAAGUUCCAACACUAAUACCGUUUGCUGCUUCUACAGCUGCUUUUGAGAUAAAAAGGACAAAAGGUGAAGGUCAGGCGCAAGUGAUCAGCCUGAAUAGUAUCCUAAUUCCAGCAGCAUACAGAUUAGACUGUGGCAUCCUUUGUUUAAGUACUUUUGAGAACUAAAUGCAUUACUUCAUAAAAAGUAUACAAGUGUCACUGAAAACUCCCAGAGGCAUUGAUGCAUCCCAAAAUUACUUGUAGCAAUGAAGUCUUGGAAGAGCCACAGGCACUGAGGUUCAAGAAUAAUUUUAUUUCUAAUCUUUUUAUUUUACCCUAUUUGCAGAAGUGAAUUUUACUGGGGUGAAUUGUUUUAUAAAAUGAGCAAUGGCCUUUUUCCCCCCUCCGUGUAUUUUGUGAGUCCUAGAGAACUGCAGUAAUAUCCCUGGUCAUUAGUCCAUAUCCUAAAAAUACGUAGUUCUUGAUAUAGUCUUACAAGCUUCCAGAGAGGGGAAAAAGCUCUCUGGAACCAAGAGCCUGGAAAGAAAGAAUGUGUUUUGGGUCACAGGUGAACACUUUGUGUGCUGCUGCUCAUUAAACCACACUGACUACAGAUGUCAUUGCUGGCUGACUCCUACCUUUAAAAGCCCACUUAUAAAUACAGUUAUAAAUUGCUUAUAAAUUGUUUAAUUUUGCAGACAGGUUAUUUCCAUUCACAAGUUGUCAGCUGAGAGUACACUUGAAGUACUAUGGAGGUAUGAACUCUUAAUUUUUGUUUGGUUAAAGAAAUCAUUAAGACUUCUGCGAGUUGUUCAGACAAUGGCAUUUGCAUCCAGCCUAAGGAAAGGGAAGCAUUUUGUCUAGUGUCAUUGGAAGUUACAUGGCACAACAGAAUUGGUGGGAAAGAUGGAGAAAAGAGAAUUGCUGCAAAUUUCUGCCAGAUCUAAGUGGAUACAGAAGUACUGUAAUAAUUGUUCAUGAUUUUGCAGUAGUCUUUCCUGCAACAGCCGUCCAUUGUUCCACAAUGCGAACAAUGGAGGCAAGGCUAUUGCAUACCCUGGUGACUGUCAUUCCAUGCUCUGCUGCCCAAGUGCAUAUUAAAUGGCAUAGGUGAGUCUUGAGCAUGAGAUGGGAAUAAUUUUCUGUCCCGGAUAAGAGAGAUGAUUCUUAGGGGAAGAACUAUGUUGGAUGUCUGUUAAUUUCCUUUGAUGUAAGGGCUGUUUAUGUACGAGAAGCUGGUUGUUGUUUCUCCAUAUUUACUACUAGGAAGACAGGAAUAAUUUGUCUUAAUCUGCAGGAGAGAAAAUUUAAACUAGGUGAUGAGAAAACCUUUCCUGUAAUUAGAGUGUAAGGAAUCAAUAGAAGAAAACUCAUUAAAUGCAGUAUCCCUAGCAAAAAGGUGGUGGAAGCUCUAAAUUUUUCAAUGUUCUAUUGAUUCUUUUUAAAGGCUAAAUAGAUAAGUAUUCAGAGGUUGAAGUUCAAUUGUAGGUACACAUAGUGGAGCUGAGUAGAUUCAUCUGAACUCAGUAUUUAUACAUAUGCAUUCAUGACAAGGAAACUGACUCAGUGGAACUUGAUGUGACCUGUAACAGAGAUGUUAAGAACUUUGGAAUCAAUGGUUCCAGCCCACAAUGUGCUGGCUGCUUUCUUUUACUCUCCUGUUCAUCUGUGCUUGAUUGGAGUGGGCCUUCAAGCUGCUAUAAUGUGGACUUUACUGAGGACAUCAUUUCAAGUUUGUUGCAAAGUCAAUAAAGUAGUAUAGCUUAGCUUACAAAACACAUGAAAACUAGAUUUAACAGUAAAAGAAAAAACUACUUGUGUGGCAGAAGGACGUGCAUAGGGCCAUAAAUCAAGAUUUGUGACAGGAUAUAUUUGGAAAAAGGGACUGUGAGCUAAACCCAGCAAGAGUGUAAAAUGUUUUCCAGGUUCACUUUUUAAAUUGGCUGGAAAGUUGAAAGAUGAUUGAAACAAUCUGACAAGCCUUCAAGACAUACAUUUUUUCUCAGAGCAUGCACUGGCUUUCCAAUGCCUAUAAAAUUGUGUAAUCAGUUUUAAAAAGAUCCUUUCUGCAUUUUUUCCUGGUUUUUUUCUCAGUUUGCAAUUGCAAUAACAAUUUCUCUACAGGAUCCUGGCCUAUCACUUCCUUCUAGCCUUUGAUUAGUCUCUAGAAAAUGCCUACACGUGGUCACUGCUGUUUAAACAGAUCUGUCACAAGUAAUAGUAAUGCUUACAGUCUUUGUGAAGGGUGAUGAAUUCAGACUUGCAGUGUCCUUGAGAGAAGAAGCAAUCCAAUGAGCCAUGAACAAAACCUGAGCACUGCCCAGGUAAAUGUGGUUGUUGCUAACAAGGGCAGAAAGAACCAAAAAGGCAGGAGCACUUGAGACUGCACCCAGCAGGCCUGGCUGUUCAGGGUGAGGGAUUCAUCGUUCAUGAGCGAUUCCUGCAGACCUCCCAAUCCAUGUGCACCACCAGAGAGGCAUCAACAUGGACAGGGGGUGAGGAGAAAAUUGCUCGAGAUUUGGUAGAGCAAGGGCAAGAUUUUAGGGACAGCCCAGCUGUGCACCGUGCUAAGUCCAGGUUUGGCAGUAAGAUAAAGCAGUGACGAAAACGCAGCACUCAUCAGCUGAUAUUGCAAACCUUUGCCACUGCCUGUAGUGAUUAAAUUCUGGGGGCUCAAGUUCACUCCAGCAUAGCAGGACCAGUUCAGACGUGAGUUUAAUUAAAUCACUGCAGUGUGCACACUGCUCAAGCAGUUUCUAAACUGGUCUAAUUAAGUCAAUCAAGGCAGAGUCUUUAUUCAAACUGUUGCUCAAGUACUUCAUCUGUGAUCAAAGAGAUCAUUUCUCCCUGCUCCCUGUGUGCUGUGGGUAUCCCUGGAGGGUAGCAGGGCACUCAUGUUUAUUUGUUGCUAUCCUCUCCUGUAUCAGACUCAACUGUUUAGAAAAUAAAUCAGCCAAGUGCCACUUUCAGACCUAAGGCAGCCUUAUCUGCUAAGCUACUAUCUGUUAGCUAAGCUACUAUCUGUUAGCACUACUAUAUGAAACUCCACUAAAAGGCUAGAGGAGGAAAUCUGGUAAAGACUGGACUGGACAAUGUUGAUAAGGCCAUGACCCUGGUAUUGGUAUAUAAAACAUGAAUAAGAUAGAAUUACUUAUUUAGUGUGCUCUGUAUUUGUAUCAAAAAAAGAAAAAAAAUAUGGCUAAUUAAGCCCAAAAGCAAACAAUUUAAACUGCCUCUGGGAAAAAAAUAUAACUAUGCAACAGCAGAUAGACAUAAAUAUACAUAGGAACAAUUUUAUCUAUGUAUGUAAUACUGGACUAACCUGUAGAACCCUUUGCCACUAAGGUCAUGGAGCUUAAUAGCUCAGGUAGAUGAAAAAGAGACAUCUACUUGGAUAACAAGAAGACUCACCAUUCCCUCAAGCAGCUUCAUUAAUUAUUCAGUCAUUAAAGUGCAGUAUUAAAUUUAGUGCUUCAUUCCAGGUGAUAGAAAAAGUGUUUUCAUUAUUUUGAUAUCUAUUGUUUACUUUUUCCUUUUUAGCAUCUGGUGUGGUGCAUGUCCAAAGCCUGGAUGAGUCAGUGUCAGUUACCAAAUUAUACUUCACGCAGCGAUAUAUUUUGAUAUCGUUAUGUAAAUACUGUGGUUUACCUAAACAGCUGCUCUGUCUCCAGAGCACAUAUCUGUGUGUGCUAGAAUUUUUAAGCAGUAUUAAGAUGUAAACAUUUUUUUAAAAGAAACCCAGUCCAUUUAUUUAAAAGCAAAACCUGUUGUCUUCUGUUGGGGGAAGUAAUGCUAUUGUUUUCUUAGCUUUCUCAUGUUUGAUACAGUUUGAAAAUUUAGAAAAAUUGUCUCAGUUGUGCUUCAUUUAAUUUGAAUUCAUUGAUUCAGUAAGUGUCAUUUCCAAAAGCGUUUUCAAGCCUCACUGUCAUUAUGAAGCCAGACACUUUUGUGUGGAUAACUCUGGAGUUAUCUGGAAAUGAAAAACACUGGCUGUGACCUAAGAAAGCAGAACCUUCCUACAUUUCCUCCUGCUUGUUUCCAUCACCAAGGGGUGCUUACUGACAGUAGCAUCUAUGCUUAAGUAUCUCUUCCUCUCAUGUUUAUUCAGCUGGGAAUACAUAAUUCCUUAGAUAAAGUACCAAAAUCUCGAGAUGGGCUUCUGCCAGCCUUAACUGCUUCUGAGAAGAUUCUGCUUGCAUUUGUGAACACACUGCCUUGCACACAGAAUGCUUUAAGGCAUGGAAGAAUACAGAGCCUAGAUUAUCUUAGCAUAGGCCUGCUACAGAAGGCACCUCUGUCUACCAGAAAAUGUCUACCACAUUAUGAUGCACUUAAUUUAACAACUGUGUGGCUAAAGUCACAGCUUCAUGCUAUGAUUUCUGAGUAGUCUACAAAAUGGGAUCCAGGCCUUUAUUCUUGCAGAACCCAUUUACGAAGCCUAAAUGACUAAUGUGGGUUGUUCUGUACAUUUUACAUAUCGGUACAGAGAUUUGCAAGUUGCCUCUUCUUCUAGAGGAGAGGAAAUAAAUUAUUUCUUUUAGUGCUGUGUAACUCUUGUAUAGUACAAAAUUUGGUCUGAGGAGCUAACUUGCCCUGUGUGCAAUGAUACCAACUCAGCUCUUUGAGAAAGGGAAGAACAAGUCAUGAACUUUAAUAUUUCCAUAUCUGCGGGAACAGGUGUGCGUAUUUAGGGCAGAAGUUAGUAGCAGCAGACACUGAAACCCUGCAUGCCGGAAAAUGAUGGAAGACAGUUAAGUGCAGCACGUAUUUUCUUCUGUUUCUCUGCAACUGUGUCUGGGGUUCACAGCUACGUUGUUAUCAAGUGAAAUCAUUGCUCAUCUGAAAUAAGGUUAAGUUGCACAACUGGGUGGCAAACAAGCCCGUAAAUGUGGUUUUGGGAGUCAGAAACACUGUCACUGCUAACCAGUGACAGGAACCUUAGAGGGGUUGCACUGUUUGCCCACAAAUUUCAUCGUAGGCUUUUACCGCAGCACCAAGAUGGGGUUUGCAUUCCUUACCAUCAUCUGGGCACAGAAAGGAGAGCAAGUGUAUCCUUCUGCAUCAGCUUAGACCCUUUCUGGGGCUCAGCUUAUCCUCUGGUGUGCCUUGUCAGCUCUGAUGACCGCAUUUAUGUGCAGGUAUCGACAUACUCGAUACACAAAUGCUCAGCUGGGCAUUCUGAGAGUCACCAGAGGAGAUGGAACUGCAGUGAUGACCGAGAUGCCAGAGCACGUGCUGCACCCAUCCAUCCCGACUGACUCCAGUGACAAAGGGGACUGACAUGGGGCUCUACUUCACCACUCGUAUUCUUCCUCAUUGACUGCCUGCUGGGAGAGAGAAACUGAUUUCGAGAGAAGCCUGAGACACUGGGGAAAAUCCUUGUUGGAGUCUGUAGGCAUAUGAGGGUCAGUCAGCACAGUGCUGCCUGAAAAGCAGCAGCUGCUGUGAAUCAUAUCCUGGGAACUCCAGAGCACAUACAGGAGUGCUGUGUUUGAGUGGCACACUGCCCUUCAAAACGAGGCAAGGACAAGGAGGAUAUCAAUGAGAACCAUCAGAUGUCUGGAAACCAUACGGCCUGGCUACUUCCACACAGUGGAAACUUGACAGCCGUUAAAGAACAUCACAAACUCCACAGAGGCGAACCUUACUCCAUUCUUCUGGACUGCAAUGCGAGAAUUUCUGUGAGCAUCAACACCCAAGUUGAAGUGGAAGUGACCUUGCAGAAUCUUCAGCCGUGAGAGGACAGGUCUUGCAACUUGGUCCACAUGAAAGAAACAAAAACCCACCCUCAUCAUCAGGUAUUGGGACAAUCUGGAAACUGUCUUUAAAUGUCCAACUGCAUCUCUGGAACUGUUGAAAUCUGACUGGUACUUCCUAGCAGGAAGCAAACACAUAAGCAAGCAGAAGCAAAACGUCAUACUCAGUUGUGCACCAGCACCACUCCUGCUGGCCUCCGUGGUGUGUUGGACAGAAGCUAACAUUCCUUCUGGGAACGUGCUAAUACCCGCUCAGGACGAAGC